CUUGGAUGUCUCAAUAGGUAGUUAGGCUGGCGUGGAAUUUUGUUUUCGGAGACCAUUUCCUCGCACCAUAACCAAUGCAGCAAGCUGUAGAGGUUAUGAUGCUUUAAGCAUCCCUAAAGCACAGAUUUUGUUGACUGUUAUAGGGUAUUUCACUAAAGUGAUAAUUGUUAGGAAUUCAAAGUAAGUUCUAUGUGAAUUUAAAAUUCAAAGGACAAAAUAC